AAGAAAGAAAAAGCAAUCACUGAAUAAAGACAUCAAUGUUUCCAGGAACUGGAACUUUGCAGCUCUUGUUUAUUAACUCUCAUCGCCUCCAGUAACGUUCUGUCAGCAGGUGCCGAUUGUGACACUAACCCCUCUCUAAUGUUUUGCUGUAUUGGACGAUGUAGGAAAAUACGUGGCUUUAAGAAACGUUAUUUGAGGAAUUGGAAGUCCGUGUACUCACCAACUUUGAGGUACUAUUUCUCAUACUUACUUAAGGGGAAGAUGGAUAGACAAAACCCCUAAGGACUGCUAAAUCACUUGAAAGUGAACGUAACUAAGGAUAUAAUUACAGUUGUAAUAGUAAGGGGAGGGCAAAUAUGUCAUUUUCAGACCAAUAGUUAGAGGAUCAGAGUUGCGUUAUUUUUACCAGGAUAAUUUUAUGUUAUUCAGAGAAGCUACUAAGUUAUUAGGUGAGUGGGAAUCAGAAUUGUGCCCUAAAUAGAGAUACCAUUUUCCCUAAUAGGGCAGGAAAAAAAAAAAAAAAAAACAGCUGUUUAGUUUCCAU